GCGCAGUACUGUACCGUCACUCUCCGCAGGUAUGGGCCCUGCAAUAAUUAAAAGCUUCUUAAAAGAUGGGGAGGCAAGUCGUAACAUGGUAAGUGUACCGG
rnacentral:rRNA from 1 species